CCUAAUGUGACUGCAUAUCUGCAUUUAUAGCAUCUGAAUUUAUAACAUAUCUGUAUUUCUGACAGGGUCUAUCGGUGAUCCUUCUGCGACAAGAUCACCAAAUAUUUUCUUUACGUACUUAACACCGGUCAAUGCUUAUUUUUCUGCAGGUACUCACCUCCGCUCUGAGCUGCCAAACAGGCUUGUCUCCAGGAUUCAUCUCCACUAAUUAAGAAGCUGAGUCCGAAGGAAAAAAAUAGGCCCCGCCCCCACCAGUUCCUCCUCCAGGCGCUUCAAUCCUGAUGAUUGCCCCUUUGCAAACACUUGGAGUUGCAAUCCAGGGAAUCCUGUAAAAUAUCUUCCACUCAUUUGCUAAAGCUGAAAGUAUGUUCAUAUAUCAAAUCCCUGGAGAUGUCCUGUCUUUCUCUCCUUUGUUCAAACUAUAUUUUGUGAAUAUGGUACAGAGCUUGUUAAGUGGUGAUCAGAUCAUUCUCUAGUUGGAUUUAAAAGACUUUUCCUUUGAUAGAUGCACAUGCACUUCCUCUGCCAAUUCUCUCAAAAGCUUUCUUUUACAUUAAAGAAGAUGCUAACGUUAAA